AUUGAACGCUGGCGGCAGGCUUAACACAUGCAAGUCGAGCGGGGGAAAGUACUUCGGUAUUGGACCUAGCGGCGGACGGGUGAGUAAUGCUUAGGAAUCUGCCAUUUAGUGGGGGAUAACAUUCCGAAAGGAAUGCUAAUACCGCAUACGUCCUACGGGAGAAAGCAGGGGAUCUUCGGACCUUGCGCUAAAUGAUGAGCCUAAGUCGGAUUAGCUAGUUGGUGGGGUAAAGGCCUACCAAGGCGACGAUCUGUAGCGGGUCUGAGAGGAUGAUCCGCCACACUGGGACUGAGACACGGCCCAGACUCCUACGGGAGGCAGCAGUGGGGAAUAUUGGACAAUGGGCGGAAGCCUGAUCCAGCCAUGCCGCGUGUGUGAAGAAGGCCUUAUGGUUGUAAAGCACUUUAAGCGAGGAGGAGGCUCUUCUGGUUAAUACCCAGGAUGAGUGGACGUUACUCGCAGAAUAAGCACCGGCUAACUCUGUGCCAGCCGCCGCCGUAAGAC
rnacentral:rRNA from 1 species